GAUGAACGCUAGCUACAGGCCUAACACAUGCAAGUCGAGGGACCGGCGCACGGGUGAGUAACACGUAUCCAACCUGCCCUUUACUCGGGGAUAGCCUUUCGAAAGAAAGAUUAAUACCCGAUAUAAAGGAUGGGAAUGCGUUCCAUUAGGUUGUUGGUGAGGUAACGGCCCACCAAGCCUUCGAUGGAUAGGGGUUCUGAGAGGAAGGGCCACCGCAUUGGAUCUGAGACACGUUCCAAACUCCUACGGAAUGCAGCGGUGAGGUAUAUUGGUCAAUGGGCGUUAGCCUGAACCUGCCAAGUAGCGUGAAGGAUGAAGGCUUUUGGGUCGUAAACUUCUUUUAUAUAAGAAUAUGUAUUAUAUGAAUAAGGAUCGGCUAACUCCGUGCCAGCAGCCGCGGUAAUUC
rnacentral:rRNA from 1 species